UACGUAGGGUGCGAGCGUUAAUCGGAAUUACUGGGCGUAAAGCGUGCGCAGGCGGCGCGUUAAGACAGGUGUGAAAGCCCCGAGCUUAACUUGGGAAUUGCGCUUGUGACUGGCGUGCUGGAGUGUGGCAGAGGGAGGUGGAAUUCCACGUGUAGCAGUGAAAUGCGUAGAUAUGCGGAGGAACACCGAUGGCGAAGGCAAUCCCCUGGACCUGUACUGACGCUCAUGCACGAAAGCGUGGGGAGCAAACAGG
rnacentral:rRNA from 1 species